AUCUGACAGAGGCGGGUGAAAGCAAGUUGAGGGAAAGGACAUUCCCCUGAAGAGCAGCUGGAGAGAAGUCCUCAAGCCUUGUUUGCCUGUCUGUGCUAAGUAAAGGACAGUGACAAACCUUCUAGGCUUUAGUGUAGAACCACCCCAAGCCCCGGAGCACACUGGCACUUGAACUGAAUUUCCAGCCUUUGCUAUCUGACAGACGUGGGUGAAAGCAAGUUGAGGGAAAGGACAUUCCCCGGAAGAGCAGCUGGAGAGCAGUCCUCAAGCUCUGUCUGUGCUAAGUAUAGGACAGCCAGCUAUGCCACUUUAGCCUAGAACCACCCCCAAGUCCUGGAGCACACUGGCACUUGAACUGAAUUUCCAGGAUUCAGCUGCCAUUCAGUGAUGUGGAAGCUUAUAAUCUCCUCAAUAUUGUAAGCAGUUUGGGGACUGGAUCAUUUCCAGGCUCUCUGUGCAGC
rnacentral:lncRNA from 1 species